rnacentral:sRNA from 1 species
CUCUAAUGCUACACAAAUACAGGUUGAAACAGCCUAUAGAUGUGCCUGUGUUCUGAGAGAUACCAUCAACCCUUACCUGAUCAGAAGAAUGAAAGCAGAUGUCAAGAAAGGCUUAGAUCUGCCCAACAAGAAUGAACAGGUCUUGUUCUGUCGGUUGACAGAUGAACAGAGAGAAGUGUACCAGGAAUACUUAGCUUCUCGUCAGUGCCAGGACAUUUUACAAGGGAAG